rnacentral:rRNA from 1 species
CGUCAAAUCAGCACGGCCCUUACGUCCGGGGCUACACACGUGUUACAAUGGGAUGGACAAAGGGGCGCUACCCGGCGACGGGAUGCCAAUCUCCAAACCCUCUCCCGGUUCGGAUCGGAGUCUGCAACCCGACUCCGUGAAGCCGGAUUCGCUAGUAAUCGCGCAUCAGCCAUGGCGCGGUGAAUACGUUCCCGAGCCUU